GAGACGGUGUCCCGCGGGAGUCGUCACGACACAACAUUUACAUACAAUGACUCUCGGCAACGGAUAUCUCGGCUCUUGCAUCGAUGAAGAACGUAGCGAAAUGCGAUACUUGGUGUGAAUUGCAGAAUCCCGUGAACCAUCGAGUCUUUGAACGCAAGUUGCGCCCGAAGCCAUUAGGCCGAGGGCACGCCUGCCUGGGUGUCACACAUCGUUUCCCCAACGCAAACAUGUAACAAUGUUGCUGCGCGGGGUGUAUGCUGACCUCCCGCGAGCACCCGCCUCGUGGUUGGUUGAAAUCUGGGUUCAUGGCCGACUUCGCCGUGAUAAAAUGGUGGAUGAGCCACGCUCGAGACCAGUCACGUGCGAGCCGGUCAGUUCUGGACCCAUCGACGACCCUUUGCGUGCACGCACGCUCCCAACGAGACCUCAGGUCAGGCGGGGCUACCCGCUGAG
rnacentral:rRNA from 1 species